CCUACGGGUGGCAGCAGUGAGGAAUAUUGGUCAAUGGACGAGAGUCUGAACCAGCCAAGUAGCGCGAAGGAUGACUGCCCUAUGGGUUGUAAACUUCUUUUAUAUGGGAAUAAAACGUUCCACGUGUGGGAUUUUGUAUGUACCAUAUGAAUAAGGAUCGGCUAACUCCGUGCCAGCAGCCGCGGUAAUACGGAGGAUCCGAGCGUUAUCCGGAUUUAUUGGGUUUAAAGGGAGCGUAGGUGGAUUGUUAAGUCAGUUGUGAAAGUUUGCGGCUCAACCGUAAAAUUGCAGUUGAAACUGGCAGUCUUGAGUACAGUAGAGGUGGGCGGAAUUCGUGGUGUAGCGGUGAAAUGCUUAGAUAUCACGAAGAACUCCGAUUGCGAAGGCAGUUCACUGGACUGCAACUGACACUGAGGCUCGAAAGUGUGGGUAUCAAACAGGAUUAGAUACCCUUGUAGUC
rnacentral:rRNA from 1 species